rnacentral:rRNA from 1 species
UGGGGAAUAUUGCACAAUGGGCGCAAGCCUGAUGCAGCGACGCCGCGUGCGGGAUGACGGCCUUAGGGUUGUAAACCGCUUUCAGCAGGGACGAAAUUGACGGUACCUGCAGAAGAAGCCCCGGCCAACUACGUGCCAGCAGCCGCGGUAAUACGUAGGGGGCAAGCGUUGUCCGGAUUUAUUGGGCGUAAAGAGCUCGUAGGCGGUCUGGUAAGUCGGAUGUGAAAUCUCCACGCUUAACGUGGAGGG